rnacentral:rRNA from 1 species
GAUCCUGGCUCAGAACGAACGCUGGCGGCAGGCCUAACACAUGCAAGUCGAGCGCGCCCUUCGGGGUGAGCGGCGGACGGGUUAGUAACGCAUGGGAACGUACCCUUUGGUAGGGAAUAGCCACUGGAAACGGUGAGUAAUACCCUAUGAGCCCUUCGGGGGAAAGAUUUAUCGCCAAAGGAUCGGCCCGCGUUAGAUUAGGUAGUUGGUGGGGUAAUGGCCUACCAAGCCUACGAUCUAUAGCUGGUUUUAGAGGAUGAUCAGCAACACUGGGACUGAGACACGGCCCAGACUCCUACGGGAGGCAGCAGUGGGGAAUCUUGGACAAUGGGGGCAACCCUGAUCCAGCCAUGCCGCGUGAGUGAAGAAGGCCUUAGGGUCGUAAAGCUCUUUCGCCUGUGAAGAUAAUGACGGUAGCAGGUAAAGAAACCCCGGCUAACUCCGUGCCAGCCGCGGC